rnacentral:rRNA from 1 species
CGAGCGCAACCCUUGCCUUUAGUUGCCGGCAGUUCGGCUGGGCACUCUAAAGGGACUGCCGGUGUUAAACCGGAGGAAGGUGGGGAUGACGUCAAGUCCUCAUGGCCUUUAUGACCAGGGCUACACACGUACUACAAUGGCCGAUACAAAGGGCAGCGACACUGCGAGGUGAAGCCAAUCCCGUAAAAUCGGUCUCAGUCCGGAUUGGAGUCUGCAACUCGACUCCAUGAAGUUGGAAUCGCUAGUAAUCGUGGAUCAGCAUGCCACGGUGAAUACGUUCCCGGGCCUU